rnacentral:lncRNA from 1 species
AGCCCCUAGCGCAGACGGCGGAGAGCAGAGAGGGAGCGCGCCUUGGCUCGCUGGCCUUGGCUGCGGCUCCUCGGGAGAGCUGGGGCGCCCACGAGAGGAUCCCUCACCUGGGUCUCUCCUCAGGGAUGACAUCAUCCGUCCACCUCCUUGUCUUCAAGGACCACCUCCUCUCCAUGCCGAGCUGCUGCCAAGGGGCCUGCUGCCCAUCUACACCUCACGAGGGCACUAGGAGCACGGAUUCCUGGAUCCCACCAACAUACAAAGCAGCCACUCACAGACCCCCAGGACCAGGAUGGCAAAGGAUGAAGAGGACCGGAACUGACCUGCCAGCUGUCCCUCUUACCUAAAGACUUAAACCAAUGCCCUAGUGAGGGGGCAUUGGACAUUAAGCCCUGACUUUUGCUAUGCUCAUGCUUUGACUCUAUGAGUACUUUCCUAUAAGUCUUCGCUUGUGUUCACCUGCUAGCAAACUGGAGUGUUUCCCUCCCCAAGGGGGUGUCAGUCUUUGUCGACUGACUCUGUCAUCACCCUUAUGAUGUCCUGAAUGGAAGGAUCCCUUUGGGAAAUUCUCAGGAGGGGGACCUGGGCCAAGGGCUUGACCAGCAUCCUGCUGGCAACUCCAAGGCCCUGGGUGGGCUUCUGGAAUGAGCAUGCUACUGAAUCACCAAAGGCAUGCCCCACCUCUCUGGAGAUCUUCCUAUCCUUUUCUGGGGAAUGGGGUCAAUGGGAGCAACCUCCUAGGGUUGUUGUGAGAAUUAAAUGAGAUAAAAGAGGCCUCAGGCAGGAUCUGGCAUAGAGGAGGUGAUCAGCAAAUGUUUGUUGAAAAGGUUUGACAGGUCAGUCCCUUCCCACCCCUCUUGCUUGUCUUACUCGUCUUAUUUAUUCUCCAACAGCACUCCAGGCAGCCCUUGUCCACGGGCUCUCCUUGCAUCAGGGCUAAUCUAGGGCCUUGUCGAAGGAAGAGGCUGCAGACGUUAAUGAGGUUAGCUGCUGGAUUCCAAUAUUCGUCGCAUAAGGAGCCUUCUUUGUCUGCGAAGGAAAAACACACUGAUUAUCAUAAUGAGGCACGUGGGCCGCGGCCCAGCUGGGUCGGCUGAAGAACUGCGGAUGGAAGCUGUGGAAGAGGCCCUGAUGGGGCCCACCAUCCCGGACCCGAGUCUUCUUCCUGGAGGGCCUCUCGUCUCCUUCCUGUUUUGGGCGGAAGCCAUCACCUGGAUUCCUACGUGGGAAGGGACCUCGAAUGUGCGACCCCAGCCCCUCUCCAGCUCGAAAUCCCUCCACAGCCACGGGGACGCCCUGCACCUAUUCCCACGGGACAGGCUGGACCCAGAGACUCUGGACCCGGGGCCUCCCCUUGAGUAGAGACCCGCCCUCUGACUGAUGGACGCCGCUGACCUGGGGUCAGACCCGAGGGCUGGACCCCUGCCCACCCCGCAGGAACCCUGAGGCCUAGGGGAGCUGUUGAGCCUUCAGUGUCUGCAUGUGGGAAGUGGGCUCGUUCACCUACCUCACAGGGCUGUUGUGAGGGGCGCUGUGAUGCGGUUCCAAAGCACAGGGCUUGGCGCACCCCACUGUGCUCUCAAUAAAUGUGUUUCCUGUCUUAACAA